rnacentral:lncRNA from 1 species
GUUGGGUUUGUCAGGGUUUCUGCAUUGCAGGGGGUUGGACUAAAUGAUCCUUUGAGUCCCUCCAACUCUACUGUUCUGUGAUUCUAAGUAUGUCUAACAAUGUACACCAAAGUAAAUGUGUAUUUCCUGUGAGCAUUUCUUGGUAACAACUUUCAUUUAUUUCACUGAAUAUAUUCCAAGAAAGAGUUGUAAAGGGGGGGGGGUACAUAUUCUAGGAAGGAGAAAUGAACUGCUGUGAGAAUACAUAAUAAAUUUUAAGAAGUGAAUUUUGAUAAUAUCUAAAAUUAUCUAGAGAAAUAAUAAAAACCAUUCCUGUGCCUAUUUAUUCCGGCAUGUCCUACUUCAGGAUGAUUUUCACUCUUAAAAAGGUGGGCACAAGAUUACAGCUUAAAGUUGUGAUCUCAUGCAUGUUACUUAGGAGUAAGUUCCCUUUUACUCAGGGGAUGUAUAUAGUUGUAUGCCACCCCAGUCUCCAAGCAGUGCAAGACUCCAGGGUUACAGGUGCUUACCCAGGGUUUGGUUUCCUGAAAUGAGGGAUAGCAGGGGCUGUGGUGUCAUUAUGAUAGUUUAUUUACACAUAUAUACAACCUGAGUCUCAGUGGCGUAGCAAGGUCAGGUGGUACCCGGUGCAUAAUUUUUUGUGUCCCCCCCCCCCAUUGAAAUUGAAAUCUGUCAAAGAGAGCAGCGCAGGCAAUCGCAAUGCAGAUCCCACCUUCUCCCCCUCCCUCCUUCCACCCCCCAUCAAAGAAAGCCGCGCAGGCGGUGCUGUUGCUGGUCUUGAUCCCACCUUGCCUCAUCAGAGACAUGGCUCCUUCUCGCCUCCCCUCCUCUCCUCUCCACCCCUAAACCAGUGUGUGAUCUCUCUCUCUCUCCCCUCAAACCAGCUGGGCUGCGGAGCUCUCCUAUGCGCCGCUUCUCCUACCCCCCCACCCCCAAACCAGCGCACCUUGGCCCUUAAAUGAAAGGCAAAAGCAGGCGACCGCAGCCUCUCCCACUUCCAUGCCCUUCUUGGGAGUCCGCGUCAGCCCUAGAAGGACCAUGCCUUGCCCUGUGAGCAGCACAGCUUUGACCCUGGCCACACAGACACACACACACAGCACCUGAGCGAGGGCGGCACAUGGACAGGCAGGGAGAGCAGGGUCUGGCCGACCACGCAUGCGCCCGGCCACAGAGGUGGGAAGGGGCAUGUCGGCAUCGCGAUGCAACUCAACCCCGCUCGGUUAUACUACACAGGCAACGUCAAGUUCAGCCGGCAUUUUGUCACCCCCAUCAUGAUGUCACCCAGGGUGAUCUGCACCCUCACACCCCCUUCCUAUGCCCCUGCUGACUCUAUGAUUGAGGGCUCCAAAAGAGUCUUGCUUCUCUCAUAGCCACAGCCUUGGAUACCCACAGAAAUCAAUCAUUGCUCUCAAACGUAGCUUUCUCUCUCUCUCUCUCUCUCCAUCCUGCUGCUUUGCUUCUAGGUCACAUCACAAUUCCACUCUAAACUCGGGCCUCUUGUCUUUCUAACUGACUGGGGAGGGAGGCCCACCUGUUUGCCCUUUUCCACAGAGCCACUCCCUUUGUCCCCUUAGCGACUCAGAGGUCGAUUACCAGGCUGGCCUGGCGCUUGCAGCAAUUGAAUCUGUGCUGGAUCCAGAAAUUAGAAGAGGGGCUCUGGCAUACAACCUAACCCCCACCCCCCAACUCAUAAUAAUAUUUUGAGCAAGCUAAGUGUGGUCUAGAUGCUUCACACACAGCAUAAGAAUCAGAGUCCCUCUCCGUAGGGCCACAUGCAUCCCAUCUUUCAGGAGUUUUUUCACGUUUUAAAACAGGAAUUGAACCAAGGGUGGGGGAUCUGUGGCCCUCCAGAGGUUGCUGGGCUGCAACUCCCAUCACCCAUGAUCAUUGGGAAUUGGAGUCCCAAAAACAUUGGUGCAUGGGGCACAGGUUCAAAUCCCUGUGCCAAGCCAACAUUUGAUCCCAUCAUGGCUGAAGACAUGAAAACUCUCUUUAAAAUACAGACAUUCACGUUGAAAAGGAAAUCAGUGUUGAUUCAGAACAGGUAUCUGCCCUCAUUUGAAGUGGAAAGUUGCUGAGAAGCCAGACUCACUUCUGCAGUGGAAAAAAGAGCCACACUCAGCACUGUUUGUAGGCACAAACUUACCUAAGUAAGCCAUGAAAUAAGAUGCGUAGAAUACUUGUCACGUAUCAAGCUGUGUAUCCUUUGUGCAGAAAUGCCAGACUAAUUUGUAUGUAUAAAACUGUUUGCAAUUAUGCAGAUUGUUAAAAUAAGUUGUGUGUUUGUGAUGAAGGUUAGAAGCAGGGGACAGGAAAAGCUGCUUGCACCUGGGAACCUAUUUGGAGCAUGCUGAGUUUCAUGUGCCUGUUUUCUCUCAGCUUAUCUGUUAAUUUGCUUUGGUUUGUGGUAGCCAAGAGCUGACACAUGGUGAGAUUUGGAAAACCGCAGUAACCACACUAGCAAAGUCAAUGUUCUUUUUCAAACUGAGACAGAAGAACAAAGACUUCAAUGUGUAGGUUUUAUUUGCAUGUGUAACAGACUUCCAGGCAAGGUGCUUUAGAAAAUACCUUAUAUGUGUUUUCAGCACUUGGAAAGCAUCUCUCUUUUUCUGCAGAUUUUAAUAACUACAGCAAAACGUAUCACACUGAGCAGGUAAGUCCAGCUAAUUGCAAUAGGCACGAUAGAAACUAAAGUUCUUCAGGUAUUUUCUUGUUGCUGAAUAUAAUGCACUGAUAUACAUAUGCAGUGCUUUUUGCUAAAAAAAAUGUUUAGGGGUACUCUCUUUUUGACGCAAGAAAAUCACCAUUUUAUAAUUCAAUUCGGG